rnacentral:rRNA from 1 species
CCAUAAGAGGUCCAGCCUGCCCAGUGACUCUGUUCAACGGCCGCGGUAUCCUAACCGUGCGAAGGUAGCGUAAUCACUUGUUCAUUAAUUGUGGACUAGUAUGAAUGGCACCACGAAGGUUACACUGUCUCCUUUCUCCAAUCAGUGAAACUAAUCUCCCCGUGAAGAAGCGAGGAUAGAAUUAUAAGACGAGAAGACCCUAUGGAGCUUAAAAUAAUACAGCAUUCACCUAAUAUUCAGCUUCAAAACAUAACUUCCCAUAAAAUUAUAUGUUGUAAAUUUUUGGUUGGGGUGACCGCGGAGUAUAACCCAACCUCCGCAUUGAAUGCUUAGAGCUACCCCCCGAAGCAUUAACACUUUAACAUUAAUUGACCCAAUAAAUUUGAACAACGAACCAAGUUACCCUAGGGAUAACAGCGCAAUCCACUUCAAGAGCCCCUAUCGACAAGUGGGUUUACGACCUCGAUGUUGGAUCAGGGUAUCCCAGUGGUGCAGCCGCUGCUAAAGGUUCGUUUGUUCAACGAUUAAAACCCUACGUGAUCUGAGUUCA